rnacentral:rRNA from 1 species
AUUGAACGCUGGCGGAAUGCUUUACACAUGCAAGUCGAACGGCAGCACGGGGGCAACCCUGGUGGCGAGUGGCGAACGGGUGAGUAAUACAUCGGCACGUGCCCAAUCGUGGGGGAUAACGUAGCGAAAGCUACGCUAAUACCGCAUACGAUCUAAGGAUGAAAGCGGGGGAUCGCAAGACCUCGCGCGAUUGGAGCGGCCGAUAUCAGAUUAGGUAGUUGGUGGGGUAAAGGCCCACCAAGCCAACGAUCUGUAGCUGGUCUGAGAGGACGACCAGCGACACUGGAACUGAGACACGGUCCAGACUCCUGCGGGAGGCAGCAGUGGGGAAUUUUGGACAGUGGGCGAAAGCCUGAUCCAGCCAUUCCGCGUGCAGGAUGAAGGCCCUCGGGUUGUAAACUGCUUUUGUACAGAACGAAAAGGUUUCUACUAAUACUAGGAGCUCAUGACGGUACUGUAAGAAUAAGCACCGGCUAACUACGUGCCAGCCGCCGCCGUAA